rnacentral:lncRNA from 1 species
GGCGGCCGGAGCCCGGGAAGCCCGGGCACAAACUCCGCGGAAGCUGGCCUUCGCUGCCGCCGCGCUGCCGCGGGCCUCCCUCCCUCCGCUCGCGGCCCCGCCGAUCUACCUUCGCCCCCGGCCGAGGCCAGACCCCGCUCCACAACUCCACGCCCCUACUCCACCCCCGGCUCUCCCUCCCCUCGCCCUCUCCCUGCGGGUCCGGCCCAGCCCCUAGCGCCGCCCCGCCCUACCGCUCGGUCCAGAGCCCAGCAAGUGCCCCGAACUCGCCCCCCGCCCCCACGCCCAGGCCAGUCCGGCCAGGCCUGGUUUCCCCCUCCCGCCGCGCCCCGCCCCCGAAUCCACGUCCUACUUCGCCACCCAACUCGGCCCGGUCCGGGUUCGGCCUGCGCCCACGCCACCGGAGUCCCCGAUUCGGUCCGGUGUACGGCCACCCACCCCGCCCUUGCCUGGGUGCUGGCCUGGCCCGCUGCCUGCGCCCGCCGAGCCGGCCCAAGCGCGCGGUCCGGGUCCGGGUCCAGGUGCCGGCCUCGGUCCCGGCAGUGUUGCCGCGACUCGCCACGAGGGCUCGUUCCACGCAAGAUCGGAACCCACGCGGGGUGGGGGCCGCGGGAAGCAAGUUUCUUUAUCCUCCCCCCGCCCCCGCCGCAGGGCCGCACCGUUCCCCCACCACCCCCGCCUCACGGCGCCCCCUUUACCUGGGCAGAGCCCCCAGCCGCUGUCGCAACUUUGCUCUUCUCCACGCCGCCGGGGAAGCGGGCGAAGCGGGAGGAGGGAGGUGGCGGGGGGUGCUGGGAUCAGGCCGCUGGGCUCCGGGAGGACACGUGGGGGAGGAGGGGAAGGAGGAGGAGGAAGGGGGGGCGGGCCUGCCGUUCUCGGGGCUCCCCCUGCCAGCCCGGGGAAGCCGGAACCUCGCCGGGCAGCCGCAGACCCCGCACUGGCCACGGGGGAAGAACGGAGCCACCUUCCUCGGCCAGCCCCCGGCUCCAGGAAGGGGGGGGGUCGAGCAACGCGCUGUUCGGGUCGGAGAGCGAGCGAUUUCGCUCGUGCUCUGUGUCACUCUCUUCCCCCUGUUUUAGCCUCAGUGUAUGUUGGGGGGGCGCAAAGGGUCUUGCAUGCGGUGGGGAAGACGUCCCCGCCGGAUGCCCCGCCCCUCCCCCGGCCCCCCACUUCCCCACCCUGGGCGACCUCAGUGCGUGGUUCUGGCGCUCAGGCUCCCAGGCCGCCCGCGGGCGCAGCCCCAGCCCCGGCGCCGAAGUGGGACAGGUGCUGGGGAAAGGAAAAUGCCGGGGCUCGCCGCCUCGCCUCUCGUCUCCGGGGCGGCCCACCUCUCCGGCUGCAAACCCCCUGGGCCACCCUCAGUGGGCAACACCACCUGGGCGUGGAGGCAUCUGGGGAUGGAGGCGAGAUGGGGGGCGGGUGGCAAGAGACCCGAGGGAGGAAGAAGGAAGAAGGGGAUGA